AUUGAACGCUGGCGGCAGGCUUAACACAUGCAAGUCGAGCGGAGACUUCGGUCUUAGCGGCGAACGGGUGAGGAAUGCCUGGGAAUCUGCCUGGUAGUGGGGGGAUAACGUUCCGAAAGGAACGCUAAUACCGCAUACGUCCUACGGGAGAAAGCAGGGGACCUUCGGGCCUUGCGCUAUCAGAUGAGCCCAGGUCGGAUUAGCUAGUAGGUGAGGUAAAGGCUCACCUAGGCGACGAUCCGUAGCUGGUCUGAGAGGAUGAUCAGCCACACUGGAACCUGAGACACGGUCCAGACUCCUACGGGAGGCAGCAGUGGGGAAUAUUGGACAAUGGGCGAAAGCCUGAUCCAGCCAUGCCGCGUGUGUGAAGAAGG
rnacentral:rRNA from 1 species